CGUUGAUCCGUCAGCGCAUCAGCGGUUCGUGACUCGCCUUCCUCCGUCCUUCAGCGCGGAUCGACCGGGACUCCUCUGUUUCCCCCCAAAUCUUCUCGUCUUCUUCUUCCACCGCUCGUUUCUCCAGGAACCUUCCAGAAGCUUCUCGAACCGACAGGCCGUGUGUUGCGAGGGGGGCGCAGAUCCAGGGUUUCCUCCUGCCAUGGUGAAGGAAACCGCCUACUACGACACCCUGGGGGUCAGCGUCGACGCUUCCCCCGCCGAUAUCAAGAAGGCCUACUACGUCAAGGCGAAGCUGGUGCAUCCGGACAAGAAUCCUCGGAACCCCGACGCGGCGGUGAAACUUCAGGAACUCGGGGAGGCCUACCAAGUUCUAAGUGAUCCAGCUAAAAAGGAGGCUUAUGAUAAGCAUGGAAAGGACGGUCUUGCCCAGGAUAACAUGGUAGAUCCAGCUGCUGUCUUUGGGAUACUUUUUGGAAGCGAUUAUUUUGAAGAUUAUGUUGGUCAGCUUGCUCUGGCAUCCAUAGCUUCAGUGGAGAUUGAUGAAGGCUCAAGUAAUCAAGAGGCCAGAGCAAAAGUUCAAGAGAAGAUAAAAGACUGUCUGAAAGACAUUUGUACCUUGUGCUCUACUACAGCUAGGAAUAUUGGAGAUGUCAGCCAUGAAUGCUCGUACAAAAUCUCUUAGUGCUGAUGGAAAGUCAUCUACCAUUGGUUAUAGUUUAGAUGCUGGAUUUGCAUUGCUUCAAGGUAAAAAAAAAUCCUUCGUGAUGCAAGAUUACGAGAUUAUCGUGGGACAUAAUACAGGGAAAUGGAAGGUAGACUUCGAUCUCACUACUAUUGGAGGAAGCAAGAAAAAUAUUUCCCCCCAUCAUGCACGUAUAUUUUUUGAUUUCAAAAACCACCACUUUUCCCUUCAAGUUCUUAGCAUGAAGGGAUGCACCAUUCAAGGUGUCUUUUCCCUUCCUGAUAAGGAUCCCAUUAAACUAAAGUCUCAGGAUCUCAUCGAGAUUGGAGACGCAAAGUUCUAUUUUCUCCUACCAAGUUGUUCCAUCUCUGAUAGUUUUUGUGCUUGGCGCACUCAAACUCUAUCACAACCUUUGUCUUCCUCCUCUUUGCCACCUUCCUACCCCUUUUCAAUUAAUUUUCGUGGAUCCUCCUGCGUUAUUGGUUCUCCCUCGGAUGUUGCUGGGCAUACACAUAUUCCAUCACACCCUGGCCAUCCUCAUUUGUCUGAUCUUUGUGGCAAUUCUUGUGGUCAUGGAUGGGUCGAUGGUGACCAUGGAAUUACAGUUGGGACUGAAACUCAAGGAACAUCUAUGGCGCAAAGCAAGAGGUCUUCCGAUGAGCUGGACACGAAUUGCGGUCCAAUCAAUAUUGAACCACUUGGUGAACAUGCCAAGAAAGUUGUUGAAGAGGCGGACAAGGAUAUAGAUAACGAACAACUCUGUGUAACAGAUGAGAAAGAUCUUAUCUCAUGUCAUAACCCUGGGAGCAAACAACUGCAAACCUGGAGAAUGGAUGCCUAUGAAAAAACUCCAUGCAAAGCUUACUAAACACUUUAGUAAGAUAUGGCCUAGUUGGAAGGUCCAAAAGUACCUAGCACCAGAGGAUGGCUCAUCAACUGGAACGCUAGGCAAGCCAUGGCAGAACCUGUUGGAGCUGCUCUUGAAGCACCCAGAGCAUUUUGUCACCAACACAAUAUGCAGAGGUACAACGUCAGAGUUUGUUUCGCUAGCCUCCUUGCUAGACACUGUUUUCCUGACAUGAUGUUGCUCAAGUCAUCAUCAGUCCAUGGUCAAAACAAAACAAAACAAAAAGACUUGUCCUUGUUUGUAUCCCCUGCUCAUGUUGUAAACAUGUACAUCUUUGCGGUAUCUUUUAUCCUUAGUUUUUAUGUACUAUGGUACUAUUUGGGAGAGUUUUUAAAAUCUGGAUUUGGUAUUAACCGUAGGCCUAUUAUCUUUGUUGUUUGUCGUUUUCGUUUCCUGAGUUGCAAUGAACAAGGUUGCAUUGUUUCAUGUUUCACAAAUUUACAUGAUUGCUUCUAAUAGCAUUUUAUUUUUAA